AGUGAACGCUGGCGGCAGGCUUAACACAUGCAAGUCGAACGGCAGCACAGUAAGAGCUUGCUCUUACGGGUGGCGAGUCGCGGACGUGAGAGGAAUACAUCGGAAUCUACUUUUUGGUGGGGGUUAAGGUAGGGGAACUUACGCUAAUACCGCAUACGACCUACGGGGGAAAGCAGGGGAUCGUCGGACCGUGCGCGAAUGAAUGAGCCGAUGUCGGAUUUGCUAGUUGGCGGGGGAAAGGCCCACGCAUGGGACGGUCGGUGGCUGGUCUGAGAGGAUGAUCAGCCACACUGUGACUGUGACACGGUCCAGACUCCUACGGGAGGCACCCGUGGGGAAUAUUGGACCAUGGGCGCAAGCCUGAUCCCGCCGUACCGCGUGGGUGAAGAAGGCCUUCGCGUUCUAAAGCCCUUUUGUUGGGAAAGAAAAGCAGCAGGUUAAUACCCCGCUGUUCUGACGGUACCGAAUGAAUAAGCACCGGCUAACUUCGUG
rnacentral:rRNA from 1 species